rfam:Gammaproteobacteria bacterium RIFCSPLOWO2_02_FTLL_61_13 rifcsplowo2_02_scaffold_453, whole genome shotgun sequence.
ACAUCAGUAAUGGCGUUGGCUGGAGGAAGCGGAAGGCAAACCGACGACCGCAGGAACACGAACAGACAGUGAGGCCGUCCUGCGCUGGGUGAGCUGGCUAGGAACAGUGAAACCCGAAGGCUGUUUGAAGGCAGGUGGUAGAGUCUGGCGGCGCGUUGGGACAGUACACGC